rnacentral:rRNA from 1 species
AACGAACGCUGGCGGCAUGCCUAACACAUGCAAGUCGAACGAGACCUUCGGGUCUAGUGGCGCACGGGUGCGUAACGCGUGGUAACCUGCCCUUAGGUUCGGAAUAACUCCCCGAAAGGGGUGCUAAUACCGGAUAAUGUCUUCGGACCAAAGAUUUAUCGCCUUUGGAUGGGCCCGCGUUGGAUUAGCUAGUUGGUAGGGUAAAAGCCUACCAAGGCGACGAUCCAUAGCUGGUCUGAGAGGAUGAUCAGCCACACUGGGACUGAGACACGGCCCAGACUACUACGGGAGGCAGCAGUGGGGAAUAUUGGAAAAUGGGCGAAAGCCUGAUCCAGCAAUGCCGCGUGAGUGAUGAAGGCCUUAGGGUUGUAAAGCUCUUUUACCCGGGAUGAUAAUGACAGUACCGGGAGAAUAAGCUCCGGCUAACUCCGUG